rnacentral:rRNA from 1 species
UACGGAGGGUGCAAGCGUUAUCCGGAUUCACUGGGUUUAAAGGGUGCGUAGGUGGGCAAGUAAGUCAGUGGUGAAAUCUCCGGGCUUAACCCGGAAACUGCCAUUGAUACUAUUUGUCUUGAAUACUGUGGAGGUCAGCGGAAUAUGUCAUGUAGCGGUGAAAUGCAUAGAUAUGUCACAGAACACCAAUUGCGAAGGCAGCUUACUAUGGUUUGAUUGACACUGAGGCACGAAAGCGUGGGGAUCAAACAGG